rnacentral:lncRNA from 1 species
CACCUCCAAUUCACAAGAAAUGGUGAAUCUAACAAGAGCACAAACAUUCAAAUGCUUUGGCUUCUUUUAGAAAGAAAAAGGGAAAAGAAAACAGUCAAAUGCGCAUUCCUAAUCUAUUGCAGGUUUGCCUAACACUCCUUUCCUUUUGCUGAUCUGUUUGUGGACUGCAUCAUUUGGAGGAUCUGAUGGGACCAUAAUCUUGUCUGGCAGAGUUCCUUGAAAGCAUCAUGUUGGCAAAAGCCCAAGCAUCCGCAAACGAUUUUAUGGAGUACACCGACUCUUCCAAAGCUUUGUUUCGAAGCCAAGGGAACGGGGAGAUCAUCUCAGAGGUGCGCCGUAGCGUGGAAGAAGAUGGCAAUGGCGUAGCUGGUAGUGGU